CAAGUGAAAACAGUGGAUUGAGGUUUUAUUUCCAAACCCCAAACUCCAAAUGAAAACAGUGGGUUUAGGUUUUAUUUUCCAACCCCAAAACCCUGAAUGAAAACAGGGGUUUGCAGAUCAAACCCCAAAGCUCUAAAUAAAAACAGGGGUUUGUAGGUUUUAUUUCCAAACCCCAAACUCUGAAUACAAACAGUGGAUUUAGGUUUUAUUUCCAAACCCAAAACUCUGAAUGGAAACAGUGGGUUUAGGUUUUAUUUCCAACCCCAAAACUCCAAACAAUGACAGUGGAUUUAGGUUUUAUUUCCAACCCCAAAACUCUAAAUGAAAACAGGGGUUUGCAGAUCAAACCCCAAAGCUCUAAAUAAAAACAGGGGUUUGCAGGUUUUAUUUCCAAACCCCAAAACUCCAAAUAAUAACAGUGGGUUUAGGUUUUAUUUCCAAACCCCAAACUCUAAAUGCAAACAGUGGAUUUAGGUUUUAUUUCCAAACCCCAAACUCUGAAUACAAACAGUGGAUUUAGGUUUUAUUUCCAAACCCCAAACUCCAAAUAAUAACAGUGGGUUUAGGUUUUAUUUCCAACCCCAAGCCCCAAAUGCAAACAGGGGUUUGCAGAUCAAACCCCAAAACCCUCUGUGAAACCCCUCAUUUGCAGGUCUUACUUUCAAGCCCCAAACCCUAAAUACAAACCUCUAACUCCAAAAAAAAAAAAAAGGAGGUUUUAGAUCUUAUUUUUAUUAGAACAAGAACUUUUAGGACUUAUUUUUAUUAGAACAGCAACUUUUAGAUCUGAUUUUUAUUAGAACAAAAACUUUUAGGUCUCAUUUUUAUCAGAAUAACAACUUUUAGGUCUUAUUUUUCUCAGAAGAACAAGUUUUAGGGCUUAUUUUUAUUAGAACAACAACUUUUAGGUCUCUUUUUUAUUAGAACAACAACUUUUAGGUCUCUUUUUUAUUAGAACAAGAACUUUUAGGUCUGAUUUUUAUUAGAACAAAAACUUUUAGGGCUUAUUUUUAUCAGAACAAGAACUUUUAGGGCUUAUUUUUAUUAGAAUAAGAAUUUUUAGGUCUUAUUUUUGUUAGAACAGCAGCUUUUAUGUCUCAUUUUUAUCAGAACAACAACUUUUAGGUCUCAUUUUUUAUCAGAACAACAACUUUUAGGUCUCAUUUUUUAUCAGAACAACAACUUUUAGGUCUGAUUUUUAUUAGAACAACAACUUUCAGGGCUUAUUUUUAUUAGAACAACAACUUUUAGGUCUCAUUUUUAUCAGAAUAUCAAGUUUUAGGUCUUAUUUUUAUCAGAAUAACAAGUUUUAGGGCUUAUUUUUAUUAGAACAACAACUUUUGGGUCUUAUUUUUGUCAGAAUAACAACUUUUAGGGCUUAUUUUUAUCAGAACAAGAACUUUUAGGUCUCAUUUUUAUCAGAACAAGAACUUUUAGGUCCUGUUUUUAAUAGAACAAGAACUUUUAGGUCUCAGUUUUUGUAGAACAACAACUUUUAGGUCUCAUUAGAACAACUUUUAGGUCUCGUUUUUAUCAGAA